UACGUAGGGUGCAAGCGUUGUCCGGAAUCAUUGGGCGUAAAGCGCGCGUAGGCGGCCCGGUAAGUCCGUUGUGAAAGUCAAAGGCUCAACCUUUGAACGCCGAUGGAUACUGCCGGGCUAGAGUCCGGAAGAGGCGAGUGGAAUUCCUGGUGUAGCGGUGGAAUGCGCAGAUAUCAGGAGGAACACCAAUAGCGAAGGCAGCUCGCUGGGACGGUAGCUGACGCUGAGGCGACGAAGCGUG
rnacentral:rRNA from 1 species